rnacentral:rRNA from 1 species
GACGAACGCUGGCGGCGUGCCUAAUACAUGCAAGUCGAACGCAGUGGGGACGGGUUAGUAACACGUGGGUAACCUCCCAUCAGAGGUGAUAACACUUGGAAACACGUGCUAAUCCGAUACUGAUGGAUGGACCCGCGGUGCAUUAGCUAGUUGGUGGGGUAACGGCUCACCAAGGCCACGAUGCAUAGCCGGUCUGAGAGGAUGAUCAGCCACACUGGGACUGAGACACGGCCCAGACUCCUACGGGAGGCAGCAGUAGGGAAUCUUGCGCAAUGGGCGAAAGUCUGAUCGAGCAACGCCGCGUGAAUGAAGAAGGUUUUCGGAUCGUAAAGCACUGUUAGUGGGGAGGCGGUAUCUAACGAGGAAGCAACGGCUAACUACGUGCCAGCAGCCGCGGUAAUUC